UCGGGAAUUUUGGGCAAUGGGCGAAAGCCUGACCCAGCGACGCCGCGUGAGGGAUGAAGUAUUUCGGUAUGUAAACCUCGAAAGAAUGGGAAGAAUAAAUGACGGUACCAUUUAUAAGCUCCGGCUAACUACGUGCCAGCAGCCGCGGUAAUACGUAGGGAGCAAGCGUUGUUCGGAUUUACUGGGCGUAAAGGGCGCGUAGGCGGCGCGGUAAGUCACUUGUGAAAUCUCUGAGCUUAACUCAGGACGGCCAAGUGAUACUGCUGUGCUAGAGUGCGGAAGAGGCAACCGGAAUUCUUGGUGUAGCGGUGAAAUGCGUAGAUAUCAAGAGGAACACCUGAGGCGAAGGCGGGUUGCUGGGCCGACACUGACGCUGAUGCGCGAAAGCCAGGGGAGCAAACG
rnacentral:rRNA from 1 species